UCACAUUUUUACACCCUUUUCUUCUAUUUGAAAAAUUUGUUGUGGUUUAGUAUCCAAGGGUGUGACCUCGUGGUCGAUAAAGGGGUUUAAAUCCUAGCAGAGACGAAACUACUAGUGAUUUUUUCUCAUCUGACAUAGUUUUGGUGGACAGAGUUAUCUGGUAUGUUUGGUACGUGUUGCUGGUGGGAGGUGAUAGGUAUGCCGUGGAAUUAGUAAGAGGUGGGAGGUAUGCCGUGGAAUUAGUAAGAGGUGGGAGGAAGGUGGCUCGGACACCACAGUA